UCGAGCUGGGACAUUCGUGUCGCAGGCCGCCGAGGAUGCGCAUAAUCAAAUGCUGGAACUCCAAUCCCAGCCUACCCCAUAGGGUAGUCAGCCACUCUCUGAGGAUGAGAUAUGCGAUCAGGUGUUGGGUAGACGACCAGGCUACUUAAAAGGCGUUGGUUGGGGACCCAAGCCGAAGGCCCGCAGAACGGCAAGUGCAAGCAGUUCGUCGACAUCUUCUUCGCAGUCCACCCAAAAAGAAAUUGAAUUACAAGCUAAACUUCAUGAAGCUUUGGAACGGAUUGAAGUACAAGAUAGAAAUCACCAAGCAUUAGCUUCACAAGUGGAAGCUAUGAAAAAGAUGAUUGAAGACCUAACUCGUGCACAACAGGGGCCACCACAUGAUCCCUAGCUCUGCGGACCGAAGGUGUAGAAUGACGCGCAUACGGACCUCGUUGGGAGAUU